rnacentral:rRNA from 1 species
UACGUAGGGUCCGAGCGUUGUCCGGAAUUACUGGGCGUAAAGCGCACGUAGGCGGCUUUGUAAGUUAGAGGUGAAAGCCCGGGGCUCAACUCCGGAACUGCCUUUAAGACUGCAUCGCUUGAAUCCAGGAGAGGUGAGUGGAAUUCCGAGUGUAGAGGUGAAAUUCGUAGAUAUUCGGAGGAACACCAGAAGCGAAGGCGGCUCACUGGCCCGAGACUGACGCUGAGGCGCGAAAGCGUGGGGAGCAAACAGG